rnacentral:rRNA from 1 species
GGGCUCGCGGCCUAUCAGCUUGUUGGUGAGGUAAUGGCUCACCAAGGCGUCGACGGGUAGCCGGCCUGAGAGGGUGACCGGCCACACUGGGACUGAGACACGGCCCAGACUCCUACGGGAGGCAGCAGUGGGGAAUAUUGCACAAUGGGCGCAAGCCUGAUGCAGCAACGCCGCGUGAGGGAUGACGGCCUUCGGGUUGUAAACCUCUUUUAGCAGGGAAGAAGCGAAAGUGACGGUACCUGCAGAAAAAGCGCCGGCUAACUACGUGCCAGCAGCCGCGGUAAUACGUAGGGCGCAAGCGUUAUCCGGAAUUAUUGGGCGUAAAGAGCUCGUAGGCGGUUUGUCGCGUCUGCUGUGAAAUCCCGAGGCUCAACCUCGGGCCUGCAGUGGGUACGGGCAGACUAGAGUGCGGUAGGGGAGAUUGGAAUUCCUGGUGUAGCGGUGGAAUGCGCAGAUAUCAGGAGGAACACCGAUGGCGAAGGCAGAUCUCUGGGCCGUAACUGACGCUGAGGAGCGAAAGGGUGGGGAGCAAACAGGCUUAGAUACCCUGGUAGUCCACCCCGUAAACGUUGGGAACUAGUUGUGGGGUCCAUUC